rnacentral:rRNA from 1 species
AUUGAACGCUGGCGGCAGGCCUAACACAUGCAAGUCGAGCGGAUGAAGGGAGCUUGCUCCUGGAUUCAGCGGCGGACGGGUGAGUAAUGCCUAGGAAUCUGCCUGGUAGUGGGGGAUAACGUCCGGAAACGGGCGCUAAUACCGCAUACGUCCUGAGGGAGAAAGUGGGGGAUCUUCGGACCUCACGCUAUCAGAUGAGCCUAGGUCGGAUUAGCUAGUUGGUGGGGUAAAGGCCUACCAAGGUGACGAUCCGUAACUGGUCUGAGAGGAUGAUCAGUCACACUGGAACUGAGACACGGUCCAGACUCCUACGGGAGGCAGCAGUGGGGAAUAUUGGACAAUGGGCGAAAGCCUGAUCCAGCCAUGCCGUGUGUGUGAAGAAGGUCUUCGGAUUGUAAAGCACUUUAAGUUGGGAGGAAGGGCAGUAAGUUAAUACCUUGCUGUUUUGACGUUACCAACAGAAUAAGCACCGGCUAACUUCGUG